UUUAUCAAGUAAUUUUAGUCAUGAGGGAGCACAAAUCCAUGCUCAGCAGCAGGGGUAGGUUUAUGACAUUUGGUAUUUGUUUUUGUUUCAUCCUCAACGAUGUAAACAGUUGAAGGAGGAAAAACUGCUGCUAAGUUACGCUGCAUAUUCUCAAGUUUUUUAUUGAUUCAAUCACUUAAUUUCUCAUCUUGAAGAUCCGCUUACCAUCCGGAAAACUAUGCAUAUGAAGGGAGCUGUUUUGCUGUCGGAUGUAAACAACCUGAUGCAAGUGUUGCGAGGUCAUUGAACUUAAAUUUCACAUCUGCAGUGGAGAUUGUCUGUGACCGACUACUAAAAGAGAGGAUGCUGUUCACUCAUUGCAAGGAAUCUACUGUAGUUCGAGCUCAAUCAAAUGCUCAUUCUCUGAAUUGAUCCGAAGGAUAAAGGAUAUGUUAUGAUCUGAGCUGAAGGCGCUGUUGAAUGAAAAACUGCAGGAUGGACUUCGUGAAAAAGUGCAUUUCAUUGCGGACAAGCUGGAGUUUCUGGUUUCUGGAGUUUCGGAUCAUGGUAUGCCUUUCACUACAUACACUAUAUUACAAAGAAAGAUCAAAUUGCUUAAGGCUUACAUACUUUAUUAAUUACUCUUCUGUUAUUUUCGACGCGAUGGGACUUGAAUUCACCUUUUAAUAAAGUGUGGCAUGUGAUCAUUCAUUUA
rnacentral:lncRNA from 1 species